rnacentral:lncRNA from 1 species
GUUGCGCAGGGACGGUAAUUAGCGUGACACGCAGCCUUUACCAUGCGGCAACAACAAUAGCCGGCAGCCCCUCCUCCAGUUGGAGGGAGUCUCUGUGCCGUAAGUAUGUCUGCUGUAGUCUCCCAGUGUUUGAAGUUAGCUGUUCUAAAAAUGAUGUUAGCGUCUUAAUGAUGUUAAAAUUCGAUGUAUUUGAUUAAGAAACUGUUGUUUUAUGGUUUACAUGUACUUUUUAAGUGUUUUAGUGCCAAUUUUGACCGCAGUGUUCUGUUGUUAUCACGUAGUGAGCUGACCACGUGUCGUCAUCACUGCCUUGAAGAGCUUCUGUGCUGUUUCUGAAGCAGGAUGAACAAGAAAGAAAUGCCAGCAAAGAAAACGUUCUGGAGUCCAACCCAGAAAAUGAAGGGCCAGAGAACACCCGUUAACGGAAUGAGCAAUCUCAUCCAGACCAGGUCUGAGAGCUUCAGACUCUGAAACCUCAUUGGAGAGAGACAUCACUGUAGACCAUCUUCACCAGCAGGAGCUCUUCCCUGGGUGUGGUGUGUUCAUCUCAUCGUUCCGCCUUGCUGUCAUGAACCACGCAUCGAAACCACAUCGCAUGCAUCAGUCUCAUGGACUUUCCGAUCAUUUCUUCACUGUUGAGGAGAAUCAACAUCCAGUUCCUUUUGGUCGUCCUUGAAAUAAUCCCUCCAGAAAAGAAGGAAAACGGAUCCGUCGACGCAAUCCUAACUUAUAUCCUGAGAUGGGACACUCCACCUGGUAAAGAAACAAUUGUGGAGGUCAGAGUCAAGAAAGCCUUUGUCAACAAAUGUAGGACCAGAGCCGGUUCUAAGCAGUAGGUCACUGCUAUGAUCUACAGUAUGUGGACUGGUUUCUCUUUCAUCCUUUAUUUAUUUUGAAUUUUCAUGGACCAUGACUUUCAAUACAGUUCCUGCCAAGUGUGUUCUAGGAUUUGGAAGCAUGUAAGUCCUCUUGUUUCAAAGCCAAGUGAGAUUCUUCCUUGUACCUGUGCUGUCAGUAUGUUUGUUGUUUACAUUCUGGAAGUAUUCAUUACCACCAUGUCGGCCAGAUUGAGUAUGCCACAGUUCAUGUACUUAAUGCAAUUCCAUAAGAAAAAAUUUUCACGGUUUUAAAUAGAUCUCCGGGUAUAAUACGACACAAUCUUGUGAAUGUAUUUCUGGUUGUAUUCAAAAUAUUCCAUUAAGAAGCCAGGUGGUUUUAACUCUUGUGCUAUCCUAGACGUGUUUACAUUAAAAGUGGGGUCGACAGCGCCCUGAAGUUUUUUUUCCCAAGGAUUUUGAAUCUUCUCUGGUGUCGGUGGCAGACAUAAGAUCCUGUCCACAUUUGUUAUGGGAGAGAUCUCACAUCAAUGUAAUGGUAGGGUCAUCUUGACCCCGUAAAAGAGUACAAGGGUUAAAUUACUUAAAAUUAUUUGAAAAAAUAAUUUUGUUAAAACCGACUUCUCAGCAAGGAGGUUAGUGAACAAUCACAGAGCUUGUAUUUAAUUUAUUUUUAAUUAAUGUUUGUAUCCCAUUUAUGUUUUAUAUUUCUGUAUUUUGUUUUUAAAAAUGUAAAAAGAGUCUAAUGCUGCUAUCCCAAUACAAAUGUUGUACUGAUGAUGCUGGCCAAAUGCCAAAUAAAAGGUUAC